UACGGGGGGGCAAGCGUUGUUCGGAAUUACUGGGCGUAAAGGCUCGUAGGCGGCCAACUAAGUCAGACGUGAAAUCCCUCGGCUCAACCGGGGAACUGCGUCUGAUACUGGAUGGCUUGAAUCCGGGAGAGGGAUGCGGAAUUCCAGGUGUAGCGGUGAAAUGCGUAGAUAUCUGGAGGAACACCGGUGGCGAAGGCGGCAUCCUGGACCGGCAUUGACGCUGAGGAGCGAAAGCCAGGGAGCAAAGC
rnacentral:rRNA from 1 species